rnacentral:lncRNA from 1 species
AGAUAGGGGAUAUAUUAGAAUGUAAUAAACUACUUGGAAACAUAUUUACGGGACUCUGUAGUUCAACAAGUUUUAAAAUUUCAGAAACCAGUUGUUAUUAGUAUACAUAUAUUUAUGAUAAAGCUGUAAAGGGCAAUAUAUAUUCAUAGCCUUUAUUGAUUAUUAAACAAGACAUAAAUCACUCCCACAUUUGUCCCAUGAGCAUGGAUUAUUUUAUACAAAAAGUUUGGUAAUACAUUUUUGUGGGGAAAAAAAUAAAAGUUUACUGUCAUUUAGUUGCUAAAAUGGUCAAAGACAGAAAGUUUAUAAAUAUUAAAACUUUGUUGAAUUAUAAAAGUCAUAAGAUUGAAAAUUGCCUGAAAUACUAAACAUGACUUACUAAAGGAGGGACGAAAGAUACCAAAAGGAAAGUCAAGCUAAUAAACCGAAAAUAAACUGACAACGCCAAGGCUUAAAACGAAAGAGACAAACAUACAAACAAUAGUACACACAACAUAGAAAACUGAAGAAUAAGCAACACGAACCCCAUUAAAAACUAGGGGUGAUCUCAAGUGCUCCGGAAGGGUAAGCAGAUCCUGCUCCAUCGUGUUGCUUAUGUUAUAACAAAUACCGUAAAUAGUCUAAUUCGGUAAGUCACAUUCAUGAAAGGGAAGGGCAUUGUUGUUACAACAUAUCCGAUAUCAUUUGUGAAACGGUCAACCAACUCGUGAUUGCGUCCGUACUACGUAUCGACCUCUAAGAUCUGUUCAACUAACAUUAUGAGUUCAAAAUCAAUUUACUAGUUACAUUUUUCAUUGAUUUUUUUCUAAGCCAUAUUACCAGUUGAUGAGAAGGCUAUUUUAUUCCAUUUAUCUUUAAGUAGAUAUCAAUCCUA